AGCAACAUGCGUGUUUCCCACAACAACACGUGGUUUGUAAAACAUAUAAAUCCGCCCCCAGUCCCCUCAAUCAGUCUUUCUCACCUACUGCGGUUGGAGGAGAAGUGGACAUCAGCACAUGUGGACGAUUUCGCCAUAAACUACCAAUUGAUUCAUUUUGACAAGAAUCUAAACUCAGUCCUUGCUGUGCUGGAAAAUCGGGUAAUGUGAACUGCCAUUUUAGGACUGAUCACCGCUUCCAUUCAACCCCUGGAUCUUCAUGCGUUUUGUCUGCGGCACUAUCGAACUGGUUCGAAAUUGUACAAAAAUAUUACUUUUGGUUCAAAGUGUUCAAUAAAAGCAGUGAAUGUUAACUGUU